UAGGGAGAGUGUCAUAGCUGCAAAGGGAUCUGUAAUUCAUCACCUGCAAAACAAGGGUAGUCAACACUGGAAAAUACAUGAGCUCUUUUGAGUUUUUUGAAACACUGGAGCAGUGGAUUACAGCAGCUCAUAUCCAAGAUGUCCUCUCUUCCUCCCAGGUUAGCAGCAGAGGGCUGUGACCAAAGCUUUUUCUCUGCAGAGAUGCUGCAUCCUUUCUGUAUCUUUUGCACAACAGCAUAGUUUUUCCAGCAGUCUUACUGACACCCAUUUAGAGCAUUUUAACAUCAAGGCCAGAAUCCUGGGAGGUGACACAUGUGGGUGUCUAAAAUCCUUGUGCAGGGAAUAUAUUGGACUAGGAUCUCCAUUUCCUGAUAUGGUGAUCCCUAGCUCUAGUCUCAUUCCAGAAGCCUUCAAGGCUUACCCAGUAAAGCCGUCCCAGCAGGCGCACUUGGGCCCUACCUACUGGAAUGGCUCUGUGGGGACAAAUGUAAAGCACGGUGUCUAGAAACCAACUCACUUGCACACACACUUGGUACUGCGAGGCAGAGUCUGGCUGGGACUGCUGAGAUGAUGCUGAGAAGCAAACCUAGGCAUCUGAGAAACUAUAAAGUACAGAAAUAAGUCCCUUCUCAGACCCCCAAAUAUUCCAAUGAGAGCUCAGGGUAGCACUUGAGAUGUAGGUCUCAAAAUCCAUUUUUGUAUCUUUUUGACAGCCAUUUUUAACAGUGGAAAUAAUUAGUAGUUUAGGCCUGAAUCAUUACAUAUUUCAGAUGUCCAGCUCCAGAAAUUUUUCUCAUCUGAACCUAAAUUUGAACCACAUGUUGUCUUGCAUUCCACAAAAGAUUUCUAGGCUUUUUUAACUUGGUCUUUGUUGCUAAGCUAACAGCAUGGCAGAAAGACUACAUGAGAAUGUUUUUUUAGCAGGUACUUCAAAAUGUCGUAUCAGCUGCAAUUGCUGUAAGAGGGAGACCUUGGAGAAAAAUUAUUAAAUAAGAAGUACACCUG
rnacentral:lncRNA from 1 species